rnacentral:tRNA from 1 species
GAGGGUAUAGCUCAGUGGUAGAGCGCAUGCUUAGCAUGCAGGAGGUCCUCGGUUCAAUCCCCAGAACUUCCU